AUCUAUCUAUAUAUUUAUUUCAUAUUUAUAUACACUGUAUACGAAAUGUUUUUAGUUAGCUUACAUGUAUUUUAUACAGUUAGCGUUAUAUACGUGAGGUCAGAGGGUUUCCUCUUCUUGUUAUACUGAGGCGCUCUGACAUUACUGAGCUGAACUUAACUAACUUGUUACCGCACUGUACAUGAGGUAAACGAGAUAAACGUUCGUAACCGUUUCUAUCUUCCCCCACCCACCCCCACACUUUGUCUGACUUGUGCCCAGCCACAGCGUACACGGCCGCACGAGCGCUCAGCUAACGAAAGUUCGAGAAGAAGAAAAGGUGUUUAACAGUUAAGGAGUCGCGGCGCUUCAGUACUCGGAAUUCUCUUGUUCUAUUUAACCAGAGCUCUGCUGUGAGGGAUUGGGGUCUUUUAGAGCUACUGGAGGAGCACGAACAAGGUGCUUAAACAAGGGCACUGUAGUCGUUGACGGUCUGGCGGACUGUGCAGCAGCUUUAGGAGUGAUGAUUGGUCAGGUCUGUGCUCUGAACAUUACAUUCCAAUAGGACUGGAUGAAUGGACACCUAUGAAGCCAUUCAGGCGUUUAUUAUUGGACUUGGAGAGACACUAAUAAAUAGAUAGAUAGACUUACUAAUAAAUGAAUUAGUCAGAGAGUGAUACACAUCUGGUGUAUUUUACGGACCUAUAAGCAAAAUAGAGCCUGUAUUCUCUUGUUUUAGACAAAUCACUGUUUUAUCUUUGACUAGUUUAGGAAAAAUAAAGCUUUUUUUAAGUAAUGUUUGUGUGUUUUAAUUGUUGGGGUAUUGUUAGGCCAACUUGUUUUGUAGAAAACAUCAGUGUACUACAAUAGGAGGCAAUUUACCCUUUUGAGCAGAAGAAAAGUUGGGCUGAAAAGUCAACCCUAGAGAAAUAUAAUUAAUUGAGCCCACAAGCCCACUUGAGCUGACUUAAAUAUUUGAGUUACAAGUUGAGUCAACUAAAUUUUUUUUUUGAAUUGAGAUUCAGCAAUGUGAAAUAUUUUGUUUGGCCAGCAUCUUGCUCUAAAACUUGAGUAAACUUUAAAAAGCUGUGCAACUUAUUGCUAAAUCUUUUCUAUGUUGAGGUGGCUUUUUUUUAUUAUUAUUAUUUUUUUUACAAUGUGUACAGGAUAACACGGUAUAGAUGAUAAGUGAGUAAGGGAUCAUACGUUUAUGACUGUACUACUAAACAUUAUAAAAUAAAUGUAAUUUUUUUAGAAAUAUGUUUAUAAAAAUAAACAGUAUAUUAUA